rnacentral:rRNA from 1 species
GUCCACGCCGUAAACGAUGAACACUAGUUUUGGAGGUAUUGACCCCUUCAGAUACGAAGCUAACGCGUUAAGUGUUCCGCCUGGGAAGUACGGUCGCAAGAUUAAAACUCAAAGGAAUUGACGGGGCCCGCACAAGCGGUGGAUUAUGUGGUUUAAUUCGAAGCAACGCGAAAACCUUACCUGGGUUUGAAAUCCUGCGAAUUUCCGGUAAUGCGGAAAGUGCCCUUCGGGGAGCGCAGUGACAGGUGCUGCAUGGCUGUCGU